ACCCCGCGUGUUCCGGUCGACUGCCCGACGGUAUAGCGUUCGGCCGGUCGCAAGCGCGUACGGUCAUCGGCCGUCGGACCUGGUCCGGCACCGGUGCCGCUCGUGCUGUUAGCGAUCGUGUCCUCGGACGGACUCAUACCGGUCGGCGAUGCUAUUGCUUUGGGUACUUUCAGGACCCGUCUUGAAACACGGACCAAGGAGUCUAGCAUGUGCGCAAGUCAUUGGGAAUUACAAAACCUAAAGGCGCAAUGAAAGUAAAGGUUCGCUUAAGCGAACUGAGGGAUGAUGGACGAUACGGGCCCGCAAUCCCGGGGCGUCUCACUCUCAUUACGAGAAGAGGCGCACCCAGAGCGUACACGCUGGGACCCGAAAGAUGGUGAACUAUGCCUGGUCAGGUCGAAGUCAGGGGAAACCCUGAUGGAGGACCGUAGCGAUUCUGACGUGCAAAUCGAUCGUCGGAACUGGGUAUAGGG
rnacentral:rRNA from 1 species